UACGUAGGGUGCAAGCGUUGUCCGGAAUUAUUGGGCGUAAAGAGCUCGUAGGCGGUCUGUCGCGUCGGCUGUGAAAACCCGGGGCUCAACCCCGGGCCUGCAGUCGAUACGGGCAGGCUAGAGUGUGGUAGGGGAGACUGGAAUUCCUGGUGUAGCGGUGAAAUGCGCAGAUAUCAGGAGGAACACCGGUGGCGAAGGCGGUUCUCUGGGAAUAUCCUGACGCUGAGGAGCGAAAGUGUGGGGAGCGAACAGG
rnacentral:rRNA from 1 species